rnacentral:lncRNA from 1 species
GCCAUUUUCGAGUGAUGCCUGAUCUCAUCAAUCUAGCGGGAGGGAAGGGAUAACCUGUCCGAGCCUAGCGCGACGCUAGGAUCACGCCGGAAAAUCCCCCAAAAAUCAUCAAAAAAAUUAACUUAGAGCAGAGGGCAGUCGGUGGGGCUUCGCCAGAUGCGGCGCAGUCGGUAAGAGCCUCAAGUAGCGAAGCGGGUCUCGAGAGGUGGCAGCGAUGGGACCGGAGGACCGUGAGGGGAGCAGGGACCGGACUCGGGGUCUGCCCUCACUUUCGCGGCAGAAGCUCCCCCAGGGGAUCCGGUUGCUGUAA